UACAGGGGGUGCAAACGUUGCUCGGAAUCAUUGGGCGUAAAGCGCACGUAGGCGGUUCGUUAUGUCGGAUGUAAAAGCCCUUGGCUUAACCGAGGAAGUGCAUCCGAAACUGGCGAGCUAGAGUACUAAAGAGGAUCGCGGAAUUCCCGGUGUAGAGGUGAAAUUCGUAGAUAUCGGGAGGAACACCGGUGGCGAAGGCGGCGACCUGGGUCGAGACUGACGCUGAGGCGCGAAAGCGUGGGGAGCAAACAGG
rnacentral:rRNA from 1 species